GAGAGAGUUAGGGAGGGUAUAUUUUACUGUGCACACACUUUAUCAAAGUCAUGUUCAACUCCCAACACCCCACUCCAAAGAAACAAAACAAAACAAACAAACAAAAAACCCAACCAACAAACAAAACCACCAGGAAAAGAAAAGGAAUAGUAAAAAAAAGCUCUUUGUUUAGAUUUGGGCACGUGUGUGUGUGUGUGUGUGUGUGUGUGUGUGCGUGCGUGCGUGCGUACCAGGCUGGACUUAAACUCACAGAGAUCGCCUGCCUCUGCCUCCUGAGUGCUGGGAUCAUUUUUAAAGAUUCUGGGAUUUAAAGAGAGGACGCUGCUGGUUUCUUUUGAUUGGGCGUAUCUCUGCAGAAUGAACAAUUGCACACAAGACAGGGAGGAGCAUACUACCCCUGGCCAUACACAGAGAGCAAAAGGGUUGCUCUGAGGGACCUGUUGCAGUACACCUCUUAUUCAUUUCUAACGAAGUGACAAAGCCUGUGAGUUUUCCUCAGGAGGUCCAGGGAAAAGCGUGCAUGCGAUACACAGCCUUGUGUGGGAAAAAAUAAGAGGAAGUGCUGUGUCCAAGUACAUACUCAAUCUUGCAAACACAGAGGUUGUCUCUGCAGAGAUUAAGAUGAACUCAGCGUGGACCAUCAAUAUGGCUUCGCAUGUGAAGGCCAAGCCUGAUGGCCUGAGUUCAGCUCCUGGGCCCCACGUGGUAGGAGGAGAGAGAGAAUCAAAUGAUGAACUCAAUAUGAAUGGGGACCUUGGGAAAGGAGACAUCUUGCCAUCACAUCUCUUUAAAAAAAUAUGUAUCAAGUAAGAAACACGAAGAAUUGCUUCCACGGGAAAACUGGCCAAGAUUCUACCCCUGUCAAGCAUUUAUAGAAACUUGGCAAAAUGAACUCAGAAAUUCAAGAAGUCCUCACGUUUGAUUAAGUGUACUGCUAGAACUCUAUCCUGUGGCAUGCGGGGGUUUAUAAAAUGUUUCGCACCCAGGCGUGGUCACUGUAGACUGGAACUACUAGAAACUUGACAACUGUCCUCUUGUUGAACAAAUGGAGGAAGUUUGCUGAUGAGAUACUGAGUUUUUAGUCUUGUGAUCAUGGUGGACAGUAAAAAGUAUAUCAAGUAAAACAGUGUUUCUAUAAGCGAACCCAGUUCACCUCAGCACAAAAUUUAGCCUUAAUACAUGUGUGUGCAGACACUUUCUUUUGUUGUUCCAUUUAACAGCAACUAGAGCUUAAUUUAAAUCCACGUCAUGAACCUUAAGCAUAGAAGUUAGGAAAAAAAUACCAUCACAUGUAUAGAGCAUUAUCAAUCAAAGCCAAGACCACCAAAUAUUAAUUGUCGGAAACUACAAAAUUUGUAUUAGUUGCAAACAAAACAACUUAAUCAAAACUUAUUAGCAAUGGUUUCAGGAGAUACAUUUAUAUUUUGUUUGCUUAAAUAUUGAAAUUUUUCUAAUAGUCUUCAUUGAUCACAUUCUAAUUAAUCUAAUUAAAGAGGUUAAUUCCAGUUUUAAUUCCGCCAUUUGUGCACAUUUUAGGUGACAGGAGUCCUACUACCCAGGAAAUUCUUAAGAGCAAACAUUUAUUGCCUGGGAGACUGGGGAAAGGCACAGUGACCCUGAAGAACUCAGAGCCGGAGGACUUGAUUUUAUUUCUUCUGUUCUAGUCCUAGGGAUGAAAUGAGGUUUUGAGUAGGCCAGGCCACUGAGCUCUGUCCCCAGUUCAGCUGGGUCAUCUUCUGUGCCACAUCUCCAAAAAUCUACUCUGGGAAACUAAGGAUUGCCCAUGUUAAAAAAAAGAAAGAAAGAAAGGAAGAAAGAAAGAAAAUCUGGUUAUUCAGCAAUAAUGCAAAAAUUAACAUACGUUCUGUAUAUUUUUCAGGUAAAUGACCUAUGUUAAAGCGGAAUUGGUGUUAAGAAGGACUUUGGAGGAAACUAUGUGUACAUGUAUAACACUAUUAAUUCUUAAUGUUUGGGGAUCACCCAGACACUGAGCAUACCAGAGUUCCGGGCAGCCUCUGGCCAUGUGCAGCUCGUCUAGAGUAGAGACUAGACACCAGCGGACUUCGUGGUAACUGAAGACUGGCCACCCCGGGAAGUCUCGGACAACGACGUGGUUCUUGAGCCACGUCCUUUAAGAUCUCCUGACUGGAAGAUAAAGAAGAUGGCGCCGACAGCUUAAGGGCAGAGGGCGUGAGGAACAGAGAUGACUUAACGGGGGAUGACGUUCGAGUGAAGUGGGGUUGAGGG